UACAGAGGGUGCAAGCGUUAAUCGGAAUUACUGGGCGUAAAGCGAGCGUAGUCGGUUAUUUAAGUCGGGUGUGAAAGCCCCGGGCUCAACCUGGGAAUUGCAUUCGAUACUGGAUAGCUAGAGUUCGGCAGAGGGAAGCGGAAUUUCCGGUGUAGCGGUGAAAUGCGUAGAUAUCUGGAGGAAUACCGGUGGCGAAGGCGGCAUCCUGGACCAUUACUGACGCUGAGGCGCGAAAGCUAGGGGAGCAAACGGG
rnacentral:rRNA from 1 species